UACGUAGGGGGCAAGCGUUGUCCGGAAUCAUUGGGCGUAAAGAGCGCGUAGGCGGUCCGGUAAGUCCGCUGUGAAAGUCGGGGGCUCAACCCUCGAAUGCCGGUGGAUACUGUCGGGCUAGAGUGCGGAAGAGGCGAGUGGAAUUCCUGGUGUAGCGGUGAAAUGCGCAGAUAUCAGGAGGAACACCAAUUGCGAAGGCAGCUCGCUGGGACGUUACUGACGCUGGAGACGCGAAAGCGUGGGGAGCAAACACGG
rnacentral:rRNA from 1 species